GGACUACAGGGGUAUCUAAUCCCUUUCGCUCCCCUAGCUUUCGUUCAUCAGCGUCAAAAAAUUCCUAGUUACCUGCCUUCGCCCUUGGAGUUCCUAUCGAUAUCAACGGAUUUCACCCCUACACCGAUAGUUCCAGUAACCCCGAAAUAUUUCAACUCUUGCAGUAUUAUUCCCCUUUCCGAGGUUGAGCCUCGGGCUUUAAAGAAUAACUUACAAAAGCGCCUUUAGAAACGCUUUACGCCCAAUAAAUCCGGACAACGCUUGCACCUCUCGUAUUACCGCGGCUGCUGGCAC
rnacentral:rRNA from 1 species